rnacentral:tRNA from 1 species
GCCCGGGUGGCGGAACAGGUAGACGCAAGGGACUUAAAAUCCCUCGGUCGUAAGACUGUACGAGUUCAAGUCUCGUCCCGGGUACCA